rnacentral:rRNA from 1 species
GCCAAUGCGGCAGCUACACAUGCAGUCGAGCGAGAACUUCGGUUCUAGCGGCGGACGGGUUAGUAACGCGUGGGAACGUGCCCUUCACUACGGAAUAGUCCCGGGAAACUGGGUUUAAUACCGUAUACGCCCUUCGGGGGAAAGAAUUUCGGUGAAGGAUCGGCCCGCGUUAGAUUAGAUAGUUGGUGGGGUAACGGCCUACCAAGUCUACGAUCUAUAGCUGGUUUUAGAGGAUGAUCAGCAACACUGGGACUGAGACACGGCCCAGACUCCUACGGGAGGCAGCAGUGGGGAAUCUUAGACAAUGGGCGCAAGCCUGAUCUAGCCAUGCCGCGUGAGUGAUGAAGGCCUUAGGGUCGUAAAGCUCUUUCGCCAGGGAUGAUAAUGACAGUACCUGGUAAAGAAACCCCGGCUAACUCCGUGCCAGCAGCCGCGGUAAUACGGAGGGGGUUAGCGUUGUUCGGAAUUACUGGGCGUAAAGCGCGCGUAGGCGGAUUGGAAAGUUGGGGGUGAAAUCCCAGGGCUCAACCCUGGAACUGCCUCCAAAACUAUCAGUCUAGAGUUCGAGAGAGGUGAGUGGAACUCCGAGUGUAGAGGUGAAAUUCGUAGAUAUUCGGAAGAACACCAGUGGCGAAGGCGGCUCACUGGCUCGAUACUGACGCUGAGGUGCGAAAGUGUGGGGAGCAAACAGGAUUAGAUACCCUGGUAGU